UACGAUGGAGGUGCGAGUCGUUGAUCCGAAUCACUGGGCGUAAAGCGCACGUAGGCGGCUUUUUAAGUCAGGGGUGAAAUCCUGGAGCUCAACUCCAGAACUGCCUUUGAUACUGAGGAGCUUGAGUCCGGGAGAGGUGAGUGGAACUGCGAGUGUAGAGGUGAAAUUCGUAGAUAUUCGCAAGAACACCAGUGGCGAAGGCGGCUCACUGGCCCGGUACUGACGCUGAGGUGCGAAAGCGUGGGGAGCAAACAGG
rnacentral:rRNA from 1 species